rnacentral:rRNA from 1 species
GUGGGGAAUAUUGGACAAUGGGCGAAAGCCUGAUCCAGCCGUGCCGCGUGUGUGAAGAAGGUCUUCGGAUUGUAAAGCACUUUAAGUUGGGAGGAAGGGCAGUAAGUUAAUACCUUGCUGUUUUGACGUUACCGACAGAAUAAGCACCGGCUAACUUCGUGCCAGCAGCCGCGGUAAUACGAAGGGUGCAAGCGUUAAUCGGAAUUACUGGGCGUAAAGCGCGCGUAGGUGGUUUUGUAAGUUGGAAGUGAAAUCCCCGGGCUCAACCUGGGAACUGCUUUCAAAACUGCUGAGCUAGAGUACGGUAGAGGGUGGUGGAAUUUCCUGUGUAGCGGUGAAAUGCGUAGAUAUAGGAAGGAACACCAGUGGCGAAGGCGACCACCUGGACUGAUACUGACACUGAGGUGCGAAAGCGUGGGGAGCAAACAGGAUUAGAAACCCCGGUAGUCC